ACACAGCCAGUGUUUUCACCUUCAGUAGAAACAGAUAAGCUGAAUCACAUGAGCUAGUCAACACUUCCUUGUAAAAUCAGCCUCGGCUGCAUGAUGCUGCAACUGCAGGCUCAUGUAAGUGUCCUGAGCGUGUUUAAGACAACAGCCACAGAAAUCAGAAGAAAAUCUUGCCCCAACAAGUGAAGAAUGGAAGUCCCAGGAAGCCAUGCAAGGUGGGUCUCUGUGUGUGGACACCAUUCUCCCUGGUCUCCUGGCGGGCCUGCCGAAUGCUGCUUUCCCAAGGGUUUCUCAGAAGGAGCAGAGAAGAGCCUGGCUCCAGCCUGUCUCCUCCCAAAACUGAGGACACGGAUGCCUCAGAGUGUGCCCUGUGCUGUUAUUUACCCUGAAAAAUACCGCAAUAGUAAUACUCAUUUGUAAAGUACAAUGGACCGGGCACAGUAGCUCACGCCUGUAAUCCCAGCACUUUGGGAGGCCAAGGUGGGCAGAUCACCUGAGGUCCGGAGUUUGAGAUCAGCCUGGCCAACAUGGCAAAAACCCAUCUCUACUAAAAAUACAAAAUUAGCCAAGCAUGGUGGCACGCGCCUGUAAUCCCAGCUACUCGGGAGGCUGAGGCAGAAAUCGCUUGAACCUGGGAGGUAGAGGCUGCAGUGAGCUGAGAUUGUGCCACUGCACUUCAGCCUGGGUGACAGAGGGAGACUGUCUCAAAAAGAAAAAAACCCUAUAUGUAAAUAUAUCAAAAGCCCUACUCUCCUUUGAAGGUUUAUCUAUAUGGGGGAAGAGGAAGGGGACACUUUGCCAAAAAAAAAUCAAUCAAGCAUAUUUUUCUACAGCUUAACAAUACCCUUGUCCCUCAGUAUCCACAGGGGAUUGGCUUCAGGACCUCCCCACACCUGCCAGAUAACAAAAUCCUGGGUGCUUAGGUCCCAGAGCUCAAGUCCGCCUGUGGAACCCGUAGAUGCAAAAAUGUGGCUGUUGACUCCUUAGCACCCUGGGAAUUCUGUCUUUUCAGUUGCAGUUGGUUGAAUCUGUAGCUGCAGAACUGGCAGGUGCGGAGGCUGCCUGUGCAUCUUGGCCUUUCCCUGGCCAUGUGCAUAUCUACUCAUUCUUUUUAGAGGCUGUGCGGUAUUUUAUAGCUCAGCUACACCAUCAUUUUCUUCCUUUUUUUUUUUUUAAAGACAGUCUUGCUCUGUCACCCAGGCUGGAGUGCAGUGGUGUAAUCUCAGCUCACUACAACCCCCGCCUCCCAGGUUCAAGCGAUUCUCCUGCCUCAGCCUCCCGAGUAGCUGGGAUUGUAGGUGCCCGUUACCAUGCCAUGCUAAUUUUUGUAUUUUUCGUAGAGACGGGGUUUCACCAUGCAGGCCAGGAUGGUCUCGAACUCCCAAUCCCAAAUGACCUGCCCACCUCAGCUUCCCAAAGUGCUGGGAUUACAGGCGUGAGCCACCAUGCCCAGCCCCAUUGUUUAUUUCAUCAGUGCUACGGUUUGAAUGUCUAUGUCCCCCCAAAAUUCUUAUGUUGAAACUGAAUCCCCAGUGUGAUAGUAUUAAGAAGCGGGACUUUAGGAAGUGAUUCAGUCAUGAAGGAGGAGCCCUCACAAACAGAGUUAUGACCUUAUAAGACAGGUGCAGGGGAGCUGCUUGACUCCUGGUGGGUUUCCACCUGCUGUGUAGCAAGCAACAUGGCGCCAUCUUGGAACAAAGAGCAGCCCUCACUGGGCACUAAGUGUCACACCUGGUCUUGGACUUCCAGAGGGACAGCUCUAUUAUUUAUAAAUUAGUCUGUGUGGACUUCCAGCCUCCACAGCUGUAAGGGACAGCUUUAUAAUUUCGUCCGUGGCAUUUUAUUACAGCAGCGUGAACAGACUGAGACAGCCAGUCUUCUAGCAAUAGAGCCAACAGGCUGUGUUUAGUUCUUUUGGCUAUUAGGAUUGCAUCAUCUGUGAAAAUCUUUCUGUAAAUGUCCUUGCUUGCUUGUACUCACAUUUUUGUAGGACAUUAUCCUAAAAAGGGUUACAUUUCUAAUUAAAAUGAUUAAGGCGAGGGAUAGUGGUUCAUGCCUAUAAUCCCAGCACUUUGGAAGACCAAGGCAGGCAGAUCAUUUGAGCCCAGGAGUUUGAGGCUGACCUGGGCAAUAUGGUGAGACCCUGUCUCUAUUUUCUGGGUAUGGUGGUGCAUUCCUGUAGUCCCAGCUACUUGAGAGGCUGAUGCGAGAGGAUCCCUUGAACCCCGGGAUGUUAAGGUUGCAGUGAGCUGUGACUGCACUGCUGCACUCCAGCCUGGUGACAGAGGGAGGCCCUGUUUCAAAAAAGAAAAGGAAUCUGGUUAAAGGAAAUGUACAUAUGUCACCAGCUCUUGCCAGAAAGCCUGCUGCAGUUUGUGCACACUCCCCUGGGCGGUGUGGGGCCCAGCGCACAGCCUCACUUACCCACGGUGUUUUCCUGCUUCCUGAGUUGGAGGAUGUAGUUUUCGUCUCUAUCUGAAGAAACCCAGUAAGAAGUUCCCCUCUGGUUUUCAUUGCACAAGACCAGCUGUGACCCAACUGUGUCUUGCAAGAAAGUGUUUGUGUUCAAGGUCCAUUGAGUGAAGCCCUUGUGCCUCCCUCCCUCGUGACUUAUGGGUUUGCUUUGCACACCAGUGAGCGUCCUUUGUGCAGGUAGUGAGGUCACGUUUUGCUGUUAAGUGGUUGUUUUAUGUUCUUUGACCCUUUCUGCAGCAGCAGCAGGUGGGCGUCUGCUAUGCACUGUGCUCAGGUGCAGACAGCAUCUGGAGAGUACCUUGAAUUUUUGUACAGACCUCUGUUACUCUGCAGUACAGACAAAAGUCUUGGAAUCCAUGCUAUCCAUGCAAGAAUGUUGGAAUGCUGUUUUCAUUUGGUUUCUUAUUCUGAAAGUGUGCCUUUAAAUGUUAAGAAUCAGAAUCCUAGAGGAUUUUGCACACAAUCCACACUCAUCAUGGGGAAGGGGCAUCUGGACACCAACAUUUGUUUCCAUCUCAAAAGAAAGAAAGUGGAUUUUGCCCCACAGGUGACAGAAGCCAGAGUGGUUUAAAGGCUGGUGGGUCCCCAAGAAGAAAGCUGGAGCCCAGCACGCUGGGCUGAGCCCCAGUAGGAGGGGAACCCCCAUCCGUUUGAGGAGGAGCCACUGCCUAGCUUCCAGCAAUUACCCUGGAGACCCCCAUGGAGAAGCUCUGUGUUCAGUAAGGCACCAGGAGGCAUAGAACGAGGGCCUGAGGGUGCUGCCAGCCAGAAAGGCCUAAGGUGGAGGCUUCUGUGUACCACACAGAGUCCCUCCCACCCCAUCAUGGGCAGGUGAUGGCUGCUAAGACCUCCCAAGCUCCCAGAAGUAGUGAAAGGACCAGCACCUUGGAAGAGACCUUGAUUUGGGACAACCAGAAUGCAGUGGACACCAGAGCAGAGAGUGCAGCCAGGUAUGUUGGCUCACUCCUAUAGUCCCAGCACUGUGGCAGGUCGAGGCAGGUGGAUCACCUGAGGUCAGGAUUUCAAAACCAAUCCAGCCAACAUGACAAAACCCUGUCUCUACUAAAUAAAUUAGCCGGUUGUGGUGGUGCACGUCUGUAAUCCCAGCUUCUUGGAAGGCUGAGGCAGGAGAAUCACUUGCAGUGAGCUGAGAUCAUGCCACUGUACUCCAGGUUGGGUGACAGAACAACACUAUGUCUCAAAAUUAAAUUACAUUGCUGGGAAUGACCGGGCAUGGUGGUUCAUGCCAGUAAUCCCAACACUUUGGGAGGCUGAGGUGAGCAGAUCACCUGAGGUCAGGAAUUAGAGACCAGCCUGGCCAACAGGGUGAAACCCCAUCUCUACUGAAAAUAUAAAACUUAGCUGGGCGUGGUGGUGGGCACCUGUAAUCCGAACUACUCUGGAGGCUGAGACAGGAGAAUUUCUUGAAUCUGGGAGUCAGAGGCUGCAGUGAGCUGACAUGGCACCAUUGCACUCCAGCCUGAGCCACAGAGACUCUAUCUCAAAUAACAAGAGCAGAGAGUCACUCAAUGGCCAAGCAGAACAAGUUGGACCUCAGUAGAGGCCAGGGAGAUGGGGUGGUGACCAUGGCCGGGCCCUCACCGCCAGCCUCCCAGCCUCGCCGCCGUGAUGCUCGAUGAGCCUCCCAGGUGCCCCCAGGCAAACGGGAAGGACAGAAAGCCAGAGCCAGGGAGUCAUCUGGAAGAUAAGCCACGGAGCUAGAAGACAGUCUUUCAAUCUUGAGAGAAACUGGGGGUCUGGGAGCUGAAGCGAGCUCAUUUUUAAAAACUAAAAAUAAGUUAAACUUUUUUCUGCCAGGAUAUAUAGUCAGCAAACAAUACCCAUUGCGGUGUGAAAGGAGACUCACGAGCUCGCGCCUGUGUGCCUGGCAUGGCGUUUCCCGUCAUUCCACUCCCACCUGCCCUCAUCACUGACGCAGGACCUUCGCAGCUUGCAUGUCCAGGAAUGGAGCUGACAGGCCCCAGAAGGGACUGGGCUUGGGCCUCUGGUCAAGUCUGCAGUGCUCUCUACCCAGGGAAGCUAAGUCAGGGGGAAAAGAUGACCUCACAAGCUCUGCCAUGAGGGUUCCUUUACGGUCCGACCCAAGAGUGUUCGGUGAACUCAAGGAAACAUGCCUGAAUUCCACCCUGCCUUUAUUCCGAUGGGUUAGGCAGGCAGAGGCGGUCCAUGUGCAGGUGCCAGAGAGCUCCCGAGGUUGACCAGGAAGCAGGUGGUAUUUGGUAUGGAGAACGCGUGGUCUGCUCCUCAGUGAUGAGCCAAGGGGCCAGCAGAGCUCCCACGCCUGGUGUGCAGUGCCUCCCGCCUGGGCCAAGCUCCCCUCCCCUCUUUGCCUGCCUUUCUCUCUGCCUCUCUUUCUCUUCCUGCCUCUUUUUAUUUUCUUUUUCUUUUUUUUUUUUGUUUGAGACAGGGUCUCUCUGCCACCUAGGCUGGAGUGCAGUGAUGCCAUCUUGGUUCACUGCAGCCUCCACCUCCCAGCCUCCAGCGAUCCUCCCACCUCAGCCUCCUGAGCAGCUUGAACUAUAGGCGCUCUCCAGCAUACCAGGCUAGCUUUUGUAUUUUUUGUAGGGAUGGUGUUUCACCAUGUUGCCUACUCUGGUCUCCCCUGAGCUCAAGCAAUCCUCCCGCCUCAGCCUCCCGAGUAGCUGGGCCUACAGGCACGUGCCACCAUGCCAGGCUAAUAUUUGUAUGUUUACUAGAGACAAGGUUUCACUGUGUUUGCCAGGAUGGUCUCAGACUCCUGACCUCAGGUGAUUCUUCCACCUCAACCUCCCAAAGUGCUGGGAUUACAGGCAUGAGCCACCACGCCCAGCCCUCCAAGGGGUGUUUUUAAAAAUCAAUCUUUGUGUCUUGGUCUAGGCCUGCAGGGCUCAAGUUUGUGGUGACUCCUACAGCAGAAGGCAGACCAUAAAGGAAGCCACGGUGCUUCAGGACCCCCCCUCCCUUUUAACCUGGAGGGGCAAGAAGCACUUUGCAGCAGAACACCCACACCCUGUGCCUGUGAGCUACGGGGCCUCCACCACCACCAGCACUGGUCACAGUGCCAGGGCUCUGUGUGCUGCCUGGCGAGGGGCUGCUGCCUCUAGCAGCCGGAGGGGCUGAUGGUGCUCUCAGCAGGGCACCCUACUGGAGGCUGGUGGAGGUCCACUGUCACACACUUUAACAGAACCAGAGGCCAGGCAGGGAGGGCUAGAAAGAGAAAACUAACAGCAGGCAUUCCAUGUGUGUGACCAGGUUGAUUCAUGAGCAUGUGAAGGCACCUUCAGGGACUUCCAGAAGUACUUGUCAACAGUUGGGGGCGGGGUGGGGUCCGACAGGGGAGUGGGGAGAGAGGCAUCCAUGCAGGCCCAGUUGACCACAGGCCGAUGUGGCUGGGUAAGAGAGAAGACCCUCCCCUCACCCAAAGUUCUUUCCCACCCCUGGCUGAUUCUCAGUAAAGACUCAAAACCGAAACAUGUUUCUUCAAAGCGUGUAAAUGCCCACAGCAAGUAGCGGGCUGCAAACCACAGCUGCCUCCAGCCUGUGUGUACCGUGCACUGAACUGGGGCUGGGAGAGGGAUGUGUUAAGCCCUGUGGCUCCCGGGAAGGGCACAGCUGGUCACUGGUCAUUGUGUGGAGCAAACUGGCUGCCUCCAAAGGCCCUUGGUCUCCAUCCUUCCCAGGCAGCCCUCGCAGACCGGAACCCUCAAGGCGUCCUAAAGUAUCGUGGAGACCUGCACCUGCCCGUGGAGUGUGUCCACACAGGCCAACAUUUACUCCUAGAGAUGUUGACAGCACACCUUCUAGCACGUCUCAGCCCAGGAGCCAAGGGUCGUCCCUUUAGUUGCUCACCAAGGGCUGUUGUUCUGGCCUGCAAGUCCUCAUCCGCUGUGAAUAUGCAGAACGGAGCCAGGAGCACAAGUGCAUUGGUGCAGUUCCAAGGAGGCCAUGUGCUUGGCUCAUUGCAGAAUCCCAUCUGGAUUUUAUUUUGCCGAAGACAAGGAAGGUCCUUUUCUGUGUAACUAGGGAGCAUUUGGAGAAUCCGCUCCUAGCUCACAAAGAGGAGGCCUCCAGAGUGGAGCCGCCUUUGACUGGCAUCGGGGACACCCACACAGGGCAUGCUGGGCUGAUGCCAGCUACACUUGCCAUCUGGGUUUGUGUCCUCAUCUGGGCUUGGCCAGACCCCAUGUCUCCAACAAACUAGUGGUCUCCCAACUGAGAGAUCCGGGAAGAAGCCAGCCAGGGGCUCACACCUACAAUCCCAGCACUCUGGGAGGCCAGAGCAGGUGGAUCACCUGAGGUCAGGUGUUGGAGACCAGCCUGGCCAACAUGGUGAAAACCUGUCUCCACUAAAAAUACAAAACGUAGCUGGGCAUGCUGGUGGCAGGCGCCUGUAAUCUCAGCUACUCAGGAGGCUGAGGUGAGAGAAUUGCUUGAACCUACGAGACAGAAGUUGCAGUGAGCUAAGACCACACCACUUUACUCCAGCCUGGGCAACAGAGUGAGACCCCAUCUCAGAAAAGAAACAAAAACCCAAACAAACCAGAAAAGAGAGAGAGACAGAGAGAGAGAGAGAGCGUAAGCAAGGCUGUUCCUUCAGACCCGACUGCCCUGAAAGCAGGAACUCUGGCAGCCCUUUGCCUCUGUCUGGCUCAGGCCAUGUUUUCGGGGCCCAGGGGCUCAGGGCUAUUUGUCAGCCUCACCAGCACAUGUGCAGACACCCAAACGGGCUGCAUUGUAUCUGACUGUGUCUUUUCAAUUCAAUUUGCUUCUUUACUGAAUAUGACAGGUCCCUUUCAAUGCUCUUUGAAAACUGUAACCUUAAUCUGAAAUAAGGUACAAAAAAGCUAUUUGUUAAAACCUUUUUUAGGACAGGGUCUCACUCUCCUGCCCAGGCUGAAGUGCAGUGGCAUGGCCACAGUUCACUGCAGCCUUGACCUGGGCUUAAGUGAUUCUCCCACCUCAGCCUCCAGAGUACCUGAGACUACAGGAACAUGCCACCGUAACAGGCUAAUUUUUUUUUUGAGACAGAGUCUUUCCCUGUUGCCAGGCUGGAGUGCAGUGGCGUGAUCUCAGCUCACUGCAACCUCCACCUCCUGGGUUCAAGCAAUUCCCCUGCCUCAGCCUCUCGAGUAGCUGGAACUACAGGCACAAGCCACCACACCCAGCUAAUUUUUUGUGCGUUAGUAGAGACGGGUUUUACCAGGUUGGCCAGGAUGAUCUCGAGCUCCUGAUUUCGUGAUCUGCCCACCUUGGCCUCCCAAAGUGCUAGGAUUACAGGAAUGAGCCACCGUGACCAGAUGACAGGCUAAAUUUUCUUUUUUGAGACGGAGUCUUGCUUUGUUGCCCAGGCUGUAGUGCAGUGGCACGAUCUUGGCUCAUGGCAUCCACCACCGCCCAGUUUAAGCAAUUCCCCUGCCUCAGCCUCCUGAGUAGCUUGGACUACAGGUGGGCGCCACCACACCUAAUUUUUUUGUAUUUUAGUAGAGAUGGGGUUUUACCAUGUUGGCCAGGAUGGUCUCAACCUCUUGACCUUGUGAUUCACCUGCCUCGGCCUUCCAAAGUUCUGAGAUUACAGGCGUGAGCCACCGUACAUGGUCAACAAGCUAAUUUUUAAAAAAUGUUUGUAGAUGGCUGGGCAUGGUGGCUCACACCUGUAAUCCCAGCACUUUGGGAGGCCGAGGUGGGAGGAUGGCUUGAGCCCAGGAGGUGAAGUCCAGCCUACUCAAGAUGGUAAGACCCUGCCUGUCUCUACAAAAAUAGAAAUAAAUGUUAAAAUUAUAAAUUAUGAAAAUAGAGCAAUAAAAAUACAAACACAAAUUAUAGAUCACAAAAGUAGAAGUUUACAGCUCCAGUGGCCCCAGCAUCUCAGGAGGCAGAAGUGGGAGGCUUGCUUGAGCCCAGGAGUUCAAGGCUGCAGUGAGCUAUGAUCGCGCCACUGCACUCUAGCCUGUAUGACAGAGCGAGACCCUAUCUAUUUAAAAACAAACAAACAAAAACAAAAAAGUCGAGAUGAGGACUCACUGUGUUGCCCAGGCUGGUUUCAAACUCCUGGGGUCAAGCAAUCCCAAAGUUCUGAGAUGACGGGCGUGAGCCACCGUGCCCAGCCGUAAAGUUCUAUUUUUUAAAAAGCAUCUUGGUUGACAGGGGUGCCUAUGAAAGAAAAAGAGGACCCGGUUCAACAGCAAAUCCACACAUCCUGAGCCACAGAACAACCCAAGACUAGUUGCAGCCAGCACGCGGGGGCACAGGUGUUUUUUAAUCCACGGUCUGGCGGGGCUCACUGAAGACAGGCAUGGGGCACAGCCAUCAUGUGGGGCCGGCGUGUUUGAUCCACUGUCUGACUGAAGACAGGCUAUUCUAACUGAAGAACGCGCAGCAGCAGUGUGGGGGCCUGCGCUGUUCCGGUCUGGCUUACCUCCCAUUCGGGCAUAGGCUUCAUUUAGGGCAGAAAAGACAAAGCUGUGGGAUUGACAUUCCUUGUGCGGCUCCGUUUGUUUCUCAGACCCUGCGGGGACAGGGCUCCAACCAGAAGCCAAGUCCUCUGAGGACACUGCGUCUCUGGGACCCAGGUGGGGGUGGGGGCUGGUGCCCCGCUCUGGAAAGACAGCUUUGAGAAGAGGCCUGCCUGGCUCAAGCCUCUGGUCUCCUUGGGCCUGCUCCUUCCUCCCGAUUCACCCCUGCUUUCUAGGUGCACCUCAGCUGUCAUUCAAGAGAAGUCCUGUCUUCACAGCUGGUAAAGGUAGAUUAGAUGGGACCUUUCCCAGGAUUUGAUUUAAGUUUCUUUCUUUCUUUUUUUUUUUUUUUAAAGACAAGGUUUCACCAUGUUGGUCAGGCUGGUCUUGAACUCCCGACCUCAGGUGACCCGCCCGCCUCGGCCUCCCAGAAUGCUGGGAUUACAGGCAUUAGCCACUGCACCAGGCCUUGAGUUUCUUUAAGCAAUUUCCUUUGGAAAACAUCCAGAUAAGACGCAGGAUGGGCCCAGGAGCAAGGCUGUUCAGAAAAUCCAAAGUAGAUGAGCUGUGUGAACUCACGGCUGAGGACUGUGGACACAGUCCUGGCUUCCAGAGUCUGAGCUGCACGGUUCUUACGUAGGGACAAAAAGCAUCACCGUCCCUCCCACCCAGAAGGGCUCAGGUGGGCUGAAAUUCCGUGAGUUCAAGGAGGUGCCUUGGCCAGGCCAUAGGUGCUCUCUGGGUUCCCCUCGGCACCAUGUGGUCCCCAGUCGGAGAGGCUGGACAAGAGCGGACAAACCUGACGUCCCUCCUCAUUAUGUGUAUAUAUAUUUUUGAGAUAGUCUCACUCUUGUUGCUCAUACUGGAGUGCAGUGGCUGGAUCUCUGCUCACUGCAACCUCUGCCUCCCAGGUUCAAGUGAUUCUCCUGCCUCAGCCUCCGGAGUAGCUGGGACUACAGGUGUGUGCCACCACGCCUGGCUAAGUUUUAUAUUUUUAGUAGAGACAGUUUCACACACAUUGGCCAGGCUGGUCUUGAACUCCUGACCUCAAGUGAUUCACCUGCCUCGGCCUCCCAAAGUGCUGGGAUUAUAGGCAUGAGCCACUGUGCCUGGCUCCCUCCUCAUUGUAGUUUGACAGUAAAGAAGCUGGCUAAAACCCACCAAAACCAAGAUGGAAACGAGAGUGACCUCUGGUCAUCCUCACUGCUACAUUGCCACAGCACCGUGACAGUUACAAAUGCCAUGGCAAUCAAUGUCAGGAAGUUACCCUCUAUGCUCUAAAAAAAGGGAGGCAUAAAUAACCCACUCCUCGGGGUUGCUGGAUCUAUUAGCCAUUAUUUUGUUCCUUUACCUUCCUAAUAAACUUGCUUUCACUUUA